rnacentral:rRNA from 1 species
GGAGGUGGGGGUGCAAAGACAGCCAGGAGGUUUGCCUAGAAGCAGCCACCCUUUAAAGAGUGCGUAAUAGCUCACUGAUCGAGCGCCCUUGCGCUGAAGAUGAACGGGGCUAA